rnacentral:rRNA from 1 species
AGAGUUUGAUCCUGGCUCAGAUUGAACGCUGGCGGCAUGCUUUACACAUGCAAGUCGGACGGCAGCACAGAGAAGCUUGCUUCUUGGGUGGCGAGUGGCGAACGGGUGAGUAACAUAUCGGAACGUACCGAGCAGUGGGGGAUAACUAAUCGAAAGAUUAGCUAAUACCGCAUAUCUUCUGAGGAAGAAAGCAGGGGACCAUUUGGCCUUGCGCUGUUUGAGCGGCCGAUAUCUGAUUAGCUAGUUGGUGGGGUAAAGGCCUACCAAGGCGACGAUCAGUAGCGGGUCUGAGAGGAUGAUCCGCCACACUGGGACUGAGACACGGCCCAGACUCCUACGGGAGGCAGCAGUGGGGAAUUUUGGACAAUGGGCGAAAGCCUGAUCCAGCCAUGCCGCGUGUCUGAAGAAGGCCUUCGGGUUGUAAAGGACUUUUGUCAGGGAAGAAAAGGGCGGGGUUAAUACCCCUGUCUGAUGACGGUACCUGAAGAAUAAGCACCGGCUAACUACGUGCCAGCAGCCGCGGUAAUACGUAGGGUGCGAGCGUUAAUCGGAAUUACUGGGCGUAAAGCGGGCGCAGACGGUUACUUAAGCAGGAUGUGAAAUCCCCGGGCUCAACCUGGGAACUGCGUUCUGAACUGGGUGACUAGAGUGUGUCAGAGGGAGGUAGAAUUCCACGUGUAGCAGUGAAAUGCGUAGAGAUGUGGAGGAAUACCGAUGGCGAAGGCAGCCUCCUGGGAUAACACUGACGUUCAUGCCCGAAAGCGUGGGUAGCAAACAGGAUUAGAUACCCUGGUAGUCCACGCCCUAAACGAUGUCGAUUAGCUGUUGGGCAGCAUGACUGCUUAGUAGCGAAGCUAACGCGUGAAAUCGACCGCCUGGGGAGUACGGUCGCAAGAUUAAAACUCAAAGGAAUUGACGGGGACCCGCACAAGCGGUGGAUGAUGUGGAUUAAUUCGAUGCAACGCGAAGAACCUUACCUGGUCUUGACAUGUACGGAAUCCUCCAGAGACGGAGGAGUGCCUUCGGGAGCCGUAACACAGGUGCUGCAUGGCUGUCGUCAGCUCGUGUCGUGAGAUGUUGGGUUAAGUCCCGCAACGAGCGCAA